GUGGAGUUCACGGAGCGGUUAGUUGCUGAGCAGUCUGUCCACUGCCUCCCAGCAACGUGCUUUGAGUACCCGAAUUUCAUCCGAGUGGUCAUCACAGUCCCCGAGGUGAUGAUGCUGGAGGCGUGCAGCCGGAUCCAGGAGUUCUGUGAGCAGCACUACCAUUGUGCUGAAGGCAGCCAGGAGGAGUGUGAUAAAUAGGCCUGCAUCCAUUCUCCUGAGGAUGUGUCCCAUCUAGGGAAGGCUGGACUAGGCCUUGCGGCUCCUCAGGGACUCAGGUGGCCCUACUGGGAGAGGGGCCUCAAAUGCACCAUGUCAAGGGUUCAAGAUUGUUCCUGCUUUUCCCCAAGUACAACCACACCCACACUCAGAUCCUCCUCAUUCACAUCGCAGAUUCUCCCUUGCUCUGCGCUGCUAGAGUGACUCACUAAUUCAUUAAUCUGCCUCCCUCUCGUAAGAUUUCCUUCUUUUUUUCUUGAAAGUACCAGGUGAACAAAGUUUACCAGAAAGCAGUUGAGACAAGAAAAUAAGAGCUCAGGAUGAGGGAAAAGAAAAAGAUUGAGAGAAUUUGUGCCCCCAACCAUUUCCUCAGACUCUAAGAAAGAACACGCUCUCUCCAGGCAGGUCUGAAGCUCAACUCUCUUAUUGCCUCACUUCAGGUAUACCUCACUUUACACAAUAGAAUUAUAACUGGAAAGAAGUUGGGGACACAUGUAUUUGGUGAUUACAUUUUAAACACAUUAGGAAAAGUUGCUAUUUGAACUUUUUAUUGAUUUUUGGGGGGAGUAAAGAAUUAUUUUGUGAUGCAAAUAAAUAUCCUUUA
rnacentral:lncRNA from 1 species